rnacentral:rRNA from 1 species
GUGGGGAAUAUUGGACAAUGGGCGCAAGCCUGAUCCAGCCAUGCCGCGUGAGUGAUGAAGGCCCUAGGGUUGUAAAGCUCUUUCACCGGGGACGAUAAUGACGGUACCCGGAGAAGAAGCUCCGGCUAACUUCGUGCCAGCAGCCGCGGUAAUACGAAGGGGGCUAGCGUUGCUCGGAAUUACUGGGCGUAAAGGGCGCGUAGGCGGACAGCUUAGUCAGAGGUGAAAGCCCAGGGCUCAACCUUGGAAUUGCCUUUGAUACUGGCUGUCUUGAGUUUGGGAGAGGUGAGUGGAACUCCGAGUGUAGAGGUGAAAAUCGUAGAUAUUCGAAAGAGCACCAGUGGCGAAGGCGACUCACUGGCCCACUACUGACGCUGAGGCGCGAAAGAGUGGGGACCAAACAGGAUUAGAUACCCCUGUGGUCC